rnacentral:rRNA from 1 species
CUUGAACGCUGGCGGCAGGCCUAACACAUGCAAGUCGAACGAGUGGCGGACGGGUGAGUAAUGUCUGGGAAACUGCCUGAUGGAGGGGGAUAACUACUGGAAACGGUAGCUAAUACCGCAUACCAUCGGAUGUGCCCAGAUGGGAUUAGCUAGUAGGUGGGGUAACGGCUAACCUCGGCGACGAUCCCUAGCUGGUCUGAGAGGAUGACCAGCCACACUGUAACUGAGAAACGGUACAGACGUCUACGGGAGGCAGCAGUGGGGAAUAUUGCACAAUGGGCUCAAGCCUGAUUCAGCCAUGCCGCGUGUAUGAAGAAGGCCUUCGGGUUGUAAAGUACUUUCAGCGGGGAGGCGUUACCCGCAGAAGAAGCACCGGCUAACUCCGGGCCAGCCGCCGCGGUAAUAC